rnacentral:ribozyme from 21 species
ACGACAAAAGAAAGGCUCCAAAAAAGCAGCGGUAUUUAUUUGGUACUUGUUUUCUGUUUUUUUUUUUUUUUUUUUUUUUU